UGCAGUCGAGCGGCAGCGCGGGGUAACCUGGCGGCGAGCGGCGAACGGGUGAGUAAUACAUCGGAACGUGCCCAGAUGUGGGGGAUAACUACUUGAAAGAGUAGCUAAUACCGCAUGUGAUCUGAGGAUGAAAGCGGGGGACCUUCGGGCCUCGCGCAUUUGGAGCGGCCGAUGGCAGAUUAGGUAGUUGGUGAGGUAAAGGCUCACCAAGCCAGUGAUCUGUAGCUGGUCUGAGAGGACGACCAGCCACACUGGGACUGAGACACGGCCCAGACUCCUACGGGAGGCAGCAGUGGGGAAUUUUGGACAAUGGGCGAAAGCCUGAUCCAGCCAUUCCGCGUGCAGGAUGAAGGCCCUCGGGUUGUAAACUGCUUUUGUACGGAACGAAAAGGCUUUUUCUAAUACAGAGAGCUCAUGACGGUACCGUAAGAAUAAGCACCGGCUAACUACCUGCCACCAGCCCCC
rnacentral:rRNA from 1 species